rnacentral:rRNA from 1 species
UACAGAGGGUGCAAGCGUUGUUCGGAAUUACUGGGCGUAAAGCGCGCGUAGGCGGCCAUUCAAGUCAGAGGUGAAAGCCCGGAGCUUAACUCCGGAACUGCCUUUGAAACUGUAUGGCUUGAGUGUCGGAGGGGAUAGCGGAAUUGCUAAUGUAGAGGUGAAAUUCGUAGAUAUUAGCAGGAACACCGGUGGCGAAGGCGGCUAUCUGGACGACAACUGACGCUGAGGCGCGAAAGCGUGGGGAGCAAACAGG